CCUACGGGGGGCAGCAGUGGGGGAUAUUGCACAAUGGGCGGAACCCUGAUGCAGCGACGCCGCGUGGGUGAAGGAGCGUUUCGGCGCGUAAAGCCCUAUCGGCAGGGAAGAAGGAGGACGGUACCUGACUCAGAAGCCCCGGCUAACUACGUGCCAGCAGCCGCGGUAAUACGUAGGGGGCAAGCGUUAUCCGGAUGUACUGGGUGUAAAGGGGGCGCAGACGGAAGGGCAAGCCAGAGGUGAAAGCCCGGGGUCCAACCCGGGAACUGCGCUUGAAACUGCGGGGCUGGAGUGCAGGAGGGGCAGGCGGAAGUCCUGGUGUAGCGGUGAAAUGCGUAGAGAUCAGGAGGAACACCGGUGGCGAAGGCGGCCUGCUGGACUGCGACUGACGUUGAGGCCCGAAAGCGUGGGGAGCAAACAGGAUUAGAUACCCUAGUAGUC
rnacentral:rRNA from 1 species